rnacentral:miRNA from 1 species
UGAUGGAUAAAAGACUACAUAUU